rnacentral:rRNA from 1 species
UACGUAGGGGCCUAGCGUUGUCCGGAUUUAUUGGGCGUAAAGAGCUCGUAGGCGGUUCGGCAAGUCGGAUGUGAAAUCUCCACGCUCAACGUGGAGGGGCCAUUCGAAACUGCCGUGACUCGAGUCCGGUAGGGGAGUGUGGAAUUCCCGGUGUAGCGGUGAAAUGCGCAGAUAUCGAGAGGAACAUCGGUGGCGAAGGCGGCCUUCUGGACGGUGACUGACGCUGAGAUGCGAAAGCGUGGGGAGCAAACAGG